rnacentral:rRNA from 1 species
GACGGGUAUCCGGCCUGAGAGGGUGAUCGGACACACUGGAACUGAGACACGGUCCAGACUCCUACGGGAGGCAGCAGUAGGGAAUAUUGCUCAAUGGGGGAAACCCUGAAGCAGCAACGCCGCGUGGAGGAUGAAGGUUUUCGGAUUGUAAACUCCUUUUGUGAGAGAAGAUAAUGACGGUAUCUCACGAAUAAGCACCGGCUAACUCCGUGCCAGCAGCCGCGGUAAUACGGAGGGUGCAAGCGUUACUCGGAAUCACUGGGCGUAAAGAGUGCGCAGGCGGAUUAAUAAGUCAGAUGUGAGAUCCUAUGGCUUAACCAUAGAACUGCAUUUGAAACUAUUAGUCUA